GGGAGGAAGAGCCGCCUUGUCUCCAUGGCUACCGUCGUGUUCGAAGCUCCUCCCUGUUCCUCAAUCCCCCGUUGCGCCAGCGCACUACUAUCAUUGUGACGCAACAAACACUCCGCAGCCGCCGCCUCCCCUUCUGCGGGGUAGGGUGGUUGUUCGGGAAGCGUUUGCGCUGUUUCAGUUGGUCUUGGGCGGCGUAAGGAGCCGGUCCACUUCGUGGCGGCUGUUGACGGUGUAGCGAGUUUAACGCGCUUUGUAGUUCGGGGGGUGAUUUCUUUUUCUCCAUACGCUUGACGACACAUUUCAAGCAAACCCGAGCAAGCUUUUUUCCUUUUUUGGUGUGUAUGUAUAUGUGAGAUUUCUGAGCGUGUUUUUGUCCUCAGUUCCCUUACUUCCAUCAUGGCGGUGACCAACGAAACUGGGCUCAGGCGCCACCACAGAGCCAGGGCCCACCCGCCUGGUACCAGAACCCCCAGCCAGACUAUGGAAGUCCUGAGGAAAAGGGGAGUUCUUCAGCAUCUGGUGAAAAAAGAGAACUACUGGAAAUUGCAAAGGCUAAUGAAGCAAAAACCUUUGGAACAGACAACAUCAUCUUGCCAGCCAGCUUGAAAAUCAGUACAGUAACAAAAGAAAGUGUGAAAGUAGAAAGCCAAACAAAGACAGUGUGAAGAUGGUGAAAUCUUGAAUAUGGUCUCCAGCACUGAUGAAGAAAAUCUGGUGGUAACAAAGUGAUUGUGGGCGGUAGCUGUGCUGACUUAGGGGAGGGAAAUAUGAGCCAAGUUAACAAAAACUAUAUUAGCACACGCGUUCAAAAGACUGGAAAGCUUUUACACAAAUGAAGUACUAUAAUACCUGCUA